UUAGCAUGGAAUAAUAAAAUAGGACGUGUGGUUCUAUUUUGUUGGUUUCUAGGACCGCCGUAAUGAUUAAUAGGGACAGUCGGGGGCAUCAGUAUUCAAUUGUCAGAGGUGAAAUUCUUGGAUUUAUUGAAGACUAACUACUGCGAAAGCAUUUGCCAAGGAUGUUUUCAUUAAUCAGGAACGAAAGUUAGGGGAUCGAAGACGAUCAGAUACCGUCGUAGUCUUAACCAUAAACUAUGCCGACUAGGGAUCGGACGAUGUUAAAAAUUGACUCGUUCGGCACCUUACGAGAAAUCAAAGUGCUUGGGCUCCAGGGGGAGUAUGGUCGCAAGGCUGAAACUUAAAGAAAUUGACGGAAGGGCACCACCAGGGGUGGAGCCUGCGGCUUAAUUUGACUCAACACGGGGAAACUCACCAGGUCCAGACACAAUGAGGAUUGACAGAUUGAGAGCUCUUUCUUGAUUUUGUGGGUGGUGGUGCAUGGCCGUUCUUAGUUGGUGGAGUGAUUUGUCUGCUUAAUUGCGAUAACGAACGAGACCUUAACCUGCUAACUAGCCCGUAUUGCUUUGGCAGUACGCUGGCUUCUUAGAGGGACUAUCGGCUCAAGCCGAUGGAAGUUUGAGGCAAUAACAGGUCUGUGAUGCCCUUAGAUGUUCUGGCCGCACGCGCGCUACACUGACGGAGCCAGCGAGUACUCCCUUGGCCGAAAGGCCUGGGUAAUCUUGUUAAACUCCGUCGUGCUGGGGAUAGAGCAUUGCAAU
rnacentral:rRNA from 1 species